rnacentral:rRNA from 1 species
ACCAAAGCUAGCCCACCCCCUCUUUUCUCAACUAAUAAAUACAAAUCAAUUAAAACAUUCAGUUACAUACUAAAGUAUAGGAGAUAGAAAUUUUAAACCUGGCGCUAUAGAGAAAGUACCGUAAGGGAAAGAUGAAAGAAUGAUUUUCAAAGUAAGAAAAAGCAAAGAUUACCCCUUGUACCUUUUGCAUAAUGAGUUAACUAGUGAAAAUAUAGCAAAGAGAGCUUAAGUUAUAAGGCCCGAAACCAGACGAGCUACCUAUGAACAGUUUAUCAGAACCAACCCGUCUAUGUGGCAAAAUAGUGGGAAGAUUUAUAGGUAGAGGUGACACGCCUAACGAGCCUGGUGAUAGCUGGUUGUCCAGGAAAUGAAUUUAAGUUCAGCUUUAAAAAUACCCCAAAGACACAUAACUCUACUGUAUUUUUAAAAGUUAGUCUAAAAGGGUACAGCCUUUUAGAAAAGGAUACAACCUUAACUAGAGAGUAAACACUAUCUACACCAUAGUUGGCCUAGAAGCAGCCAUCAAUUAAGAAAGCGUUAAAGCUCAACAAGAAGCCAAAUCUAAUACCAAUAAUAAACAAUAAACUCCUAGAUCACCUACUGGACUAAUCUGUUUAUAAACAGAAGCAAUAAUGUUAACAUGAGUAACAAGAAGUAAUUCUCCCUGCAUAAGCUUACGUCAGUAACUAAUAUUAUUCUGACAAUUAACAGCAAAAUAAAAACAAUCCACAACUAGAUAAUUUAUUAACCACACUGUUAACCCAACACAGGCAUGCACUUUAAAGGGAAAGAUUAAAAGAAAUAAAAGGAACUCGGCAAACACUAACCCCGCCUGUUUACCAAAAACACCACCUCUAGCAUCACUAGUAUUAGAGGCACUGCCUGCCCGGUGACAAUAGUUAAACGGCCGCGGUAUCCUGACCGUGCAAAGGUAGCAUAAUCAUUUGUUCUCUAAAUAAGGACUUGUAUGAAUGGCAACACGAGGGUUUAACUGUCUCUUAUUUCUAAUCAGUGAAAUUGACCUUCCCGUGAAGAGGCGGGAAUAUACUAAUAAGACGAGAAGACCCUAUGGAGCUUUAAUUAAUUUACCCAAGGAGCAACUUUUAACCGCCAAGGGACAACAACAUUUCCACCUGGGUUAACAAUUUUGGUUGGGGUGACCUCGGAGAACAAAAAAUCCUCCGAGCGAUUCUUAAAGACUAGACCUACAAGUCAAAUCGUCCUAUCGUACAUUGAUCCAAAAAUAAUUUGAUCAACGGAACAAGUUACCCUAGGGAUAACAGCGCAAUCCUAUUCUAGAGUCCAUAUCGACAAUAGGGUUUACGACCUCGAUGUUGGAUCAGGACAUCCCAAUGGUGCAGCAGCUAUUAAAGGUUCGUUUGUUCAACGAUUAAAGUCCUACGUGAUCUGAGUUCAGACCGGAGCAAUCCAGGUCGGUUUCUAUCUAUUAUACAUUUCUCCCAGUACGAAAGGACAAGAGAAAUGGGGCCACCUUAAAAUAAGCGCCCCUAAACCAAUUAAUGAUUUUAUCUCAAUUAAUUAAUUAGUAACAACAGUAUACCCGAGACCAGGGUUCA